AUCGAACGCUGGCGGCAGGCCUAACACAUGCAAGUCGAACGAGUGGCGGACGGGUGAGUACUGUCUGGGAAACUGCCCGAUGGAGGGGGAUAACUACUGGAAACGGUAGCUAAUACCGCAUACCAUCGGAUGUGCCCAGAUGGGAUUAGCUAGUAGGUGGGGGAACGGCUCACCUAGGCGACGAUCCCUAUCUUGUCUGAGAGGAUGAACAGCCAACCUGGAACUGAGACACGGUCCAGACUCCUACGUGAGGCAGCAGUGGGGAAUAUUGCACAAUGGGCGCAAGCCUGAUGCAGCCAUGCCGCGUGUAUGAAGAAGGCCUUCGGGUUGUAAAGUACUUUCAGCGAGGAGGCGUUACUCGCAGAAGAAGCACCGGCUAACUCCGUGCCAGCAGCCGCGGUAAUUC
rnacentral:rRNA from 1 species